UGGCAAUGGGCAAAGAUACACCUUGAUGGUGGUAGCAUUCUUACAUCAUUUAUCAGCAGAGCAGAUGGUAGUCUUUUGUUUAUUCUAGCUUGAUGCCUAUCCUGACAGCCAAAGCUGUUUUAUGCCUAGGACUCAUAA